GAAAGACAUGGGGUUUGAGGAACAGAUAACCCACAUUAAGGUUUAGCAGAUGUAUCCUGCCCCAUGACAGAUUCAUUCCUAAUGAACCUUCUCAGUACAUCAGGUGGGAACCAACUCCACACAGUGUGAUAAACAAGACAUCUCUUAAGAAGAAGUACCGUAUUUUCCGGCGUAUAAGACGACUUUUUACCCCUGGAAAAUCU